rnacentral:rRNA from 1 species
UACAGAGGGGGCGAGCGUUGUUCGGAAUUACUGGGUGUAAAGGGUGCGUAGGCGGUCGGACAAGUCUGAUGUGAAAGCCCUCGGCUCAACUGAGGAAUGGCAUUGGAAACUGUCUGGCUUGAGUACUGGAGAGGGAAGCGGAAUUCCUGGUGUAGCGGUGAAAUGCGUAGAUACCAGGAGGAACACCGGUGGCGAAGGCGGCUUCCUGGCCAAUUACUGACGCUGAGGCACGAAAGCGUGGGGAGCGAACGGG